AAUCAACGCUGGCGGCGUGCCUAACACAUGCAAGUCGAACGCGAAAGUCCCGCAAGGGAUCAGUAGAGUGGCAAACGGGUGAGUAACGCGUGGGUGACCUACCUUCGAGUGGGGGAUAACGUUCCGAAAGGGACGCUACUACCGCAUGACAUCCUGCCUUUGAACAGGCGGACAUUAAAGCCGGGGAUCGCAAGACCCGGCGCUUGAAGAGGGGCCCGCGUCCGAUUAGCUAGUUGGGAGGU
rnacentral:rRNA from 1 species